CUUUCUCCUAAUUAAUUAAUUAAUUAAUAAAUCAAAUAUCUUCUUCUCUAUAUAAGCAACCAGACAUAAGGAUCCUCUUCCAAUAUCAUCGAUCGAUUUCUAUCUCUAGCAAGCUAGCAACAUACAUACAUACAUACAUAUUACUCAUUUCUCUCUCUAAUUACUUGCCCUAAUAUCAUCAAACAUGAGUCAAGCACAACCCCAAUAUGGUAUGAUCAUCAUCUUUACUACUUUUUAUUAUAUAUAUAUAUAGAAUCGAUUCAUCCAAUUAAUUAAUUAAUUAACUAAUAAAUUAUAUGUUUGAUGAUGGAACUCUCUCUCUCUCUCUAUAUAUAUAUAUAUGCAGCAGCUGUUCAGGCGCCACCUGCCUCCGCUUAUAACAUGGCCCCACCACCACCUGCUGGUUAUCCGAUGAAAGACGGUGGCGCUUACGGCCAGGGAACUGCUCCUCCUCCCACCGCACCCACUCAGUCUAGGGGCGACGGAUUUUGGAAGGGAUGUUGUGCAGCUAUAUGUUGCUGUUGUGUGUUGGAUGCCUGCUUCUAAGUCUAACUCCCGGCCGUUUAACAAGACCUAGCAGCUCGUUAUAUAUUUAUAAUAUAUAUAUGGACACGUACGAUUGAGUUUUCGAAGAUUUUAUUGUAUAAAAUUAUUUGUCUCAGCUUUUUUAUUUUUUAUUUUUAUUUUGUUGUCAUGUCUCCCUCCUCUCCUUUACUAUUUCCAUAUCUAGCUACAAGUUUCUCUUUUGAGCGGUUUGUAAUUUGGUGCAUGCACUAUUAUUAUUAUUAUUAUAUAUUCAAUAAACACUCUUAAUUUCUAUAUAUCU